UAAGCAUAUCAAUAAGCGGAGGAAAAGAAACUAACAAGGAUUCCCCUAGUAACUGCGAGUGAAGCGGGAAAAGCUCAAAUUUUGAAUCUGGCGGUCUUUUGGCCGUCCGAGUUGUAAUCUAGAGAAGUGUUUUCCGCGCUGGACCGUGUAUAAGUUUCCUGGAAUGGAACGUCGUAGAGGGUGAGAAUCCCGUCUUUGACACGGACUACCAGGGCUAUGUGAUGCGCUCUCGACGAGUCGAGUUGUUUGGGAAUGCAGCUCAAAUAGGGUGGUAAAUUCCAUCUAAAGCUAAAUACAGGCGAGAGACCGAUAGCGAACAAGUACCGUGAGGGAAAGAUGAAAAGAACUUUGGAAAGAGAGUUAAACAGUACGUGAAAUUGCUGAAAGGGAAACGCUUGAUGUCAGUCGCGUCGGCCGGGGAUCAGCCUUGCUUUACCGCUCGGCGUACUUCCUGGUCGACGGGUCAGCAUCAGUUUUGACCGUCGGAAAAGGACUGGAGGAAUGUGGCACUCUUUCGGGAGUGUGUUAUAGACUCUGCUCGAAUACGAUGGUUGGGACUGAGGAACUCAGCACGACCUUAGGGUUCGGGGCUUCGGCCUACGUUCGCGUGCUUAGGAUGCUGGCAUAAUGGCCUUAAGCGACCCGUCUUGAAACACGGACCA
rnacentral:rRNA from 1 species